UUAUUGAGCACCUAUUCUGUGCCAGUGACUUUCCUCGGCUCCAGGGAUACUGCGGCGAAAUGGGUGCAGGUGUUACCACGAAGGAAUACAUAACAGGCUGGCAGUCAAGGCAGGCACAUCAACAGAUACCAGAGAUGUCCAUGCACUGAAGAAAGAGCACUUGAGGACAUAUGGAGAGGGCAGCCAUCUGCAAGCCAAAGAGACAGGCCUCAGAAGAAAUCAAACUUCCCGAAAUCUUGAUCUUGGAUUUCUAGCCUCAAGAACUAUAAGAAAUAAAUUUCUGUUGUUUAUGCA